AUUCAAGGUAUAACCCAUCCAGGCAACAGGAGUGGAAGGAGGUCACGUGACAGCCGUAGUCUGGAAACACGGGGAUCGGAUGCAUACUGGUGUUCAUCUCCACUCUGUACAGCCCAGGGUCACCUGACCAAUGAAUGACCCUGCUCAUGACCAAGAUGGAUCUUCCCACAUCAAUUAGUACAACUGAGGCUUCCAGUGACAAACCAAAGAAAGCUACAAUCCAGCUAACCUUCCCAGCCUGUGCACUCUAGCACCAAAGGCCACAUGCAAUUAGAGCAGAAUUACAUACAAAUGACCAGGCAGUGCAGGAGGGAGCAGCUUGACUCUCAGGAGAGGGUCUAGUGACCCUGUCCCACCCCUCCUUCUAUAAUGGAAUGUCAACAGCCAUCAAGGCUGAUCUUAGGGUUUCCUGCAAAAUAGUCAUAGCCAUGCUGAUAAAGAUGGCACUGUCAUAUUUGGAAGCACAGCUAUCUUGCCAAGGAAUGAGAAAAGUAACUAAGAUAGAAAAUUGCUACCAAAAAGAGGGUUGUCACUGUGAAGAAUGUGACCAUGGGGUCUGCAGGCCUUCACACUGGUGUGUGAGAAGAAUGGAGAAGCCUUUGGUAAGCCUUAGAGUUCUGUGAUCAGUUUGAUGGGCCACUCUGAUCAGAGACAGGAAGACCAGACUGCUGAGAAAAGUGUUUGUAGCAAAGCCCAGGCUCGUGAGAUUUCAGAACGGGGCACUUGGCCAUUUGUACUAUCGUCUGGCUGAGAGUGGCUGCCAUUCUGCCCAUGGCUUGAGCUAAAAGCAAUGGACCAAGAUGUUUAGUAGAAUGUCAAGACAGGGCACUCAAGCUGCAGGGUGACUGCUCACUGCUUUUAGUCAGUUCUGCCAUGAGAGAGUUCUAGAGAUGAGGAAAAUGAGCAGAGUGAUAAGGAAAAAAAGGGUAUGAGUUUAAAGAUGUAGAGAAGAUAGAUGCCGGAAGAAGCUGAAAAUGUGAAGAGAUUAGCGCCAUUAUAAAGAAACCCUGAACUCUGCCCUGAGACAAUAAAACACGGAGCCGCUUUGAAGACAAGGCUGCCAAGCAUAAAGGUGAAAAUUCCCAACGCAGACUCAAGUCUGGAAGGAGAACACCACUGAGGGGCUCCCUGCUGGACAACUGGAUAGGCAAGUUCAGCUGACAUGGCUCACAGAGACCAGACUACUUCUCAAUGCAUCCAUUCAAUGUCCAGAUCAUGGAAGCUUGCACCAAGGUUCCAGAAAAACCACUGAGGCCAGGGCUCCACCAAGGAGAACUACAGGCCCAGAACUGAGCUGACCUGAGAAAGGCUACAUGGACUGCAUGCUGCAGAACUCCAGGAGUGGACUACCCAAGCCUAUUGGAACCCAGACACUGCUGCCACAAGCUCCGGACGCCAGACAAGGAAUUGGAGGAUUUUCCCUCAAAAGUCUUCACAUUACUCUGGUCCAACCUUUUCCCUGCUACCUCCAUGUUCUUCCCUGACAGAACGGGGCUGUUUGUUCUGCGCCAUUCACUUUUGCAGAUCUACGUGAGCACAGAUAGAACAUGCACGUGCGCCUAUCUGUCCGUUGUCGUCACCGUGCAGCCUGGCGUUGGCAUCAGUGACUCUGAUGGCCAGCCAUGCUGCCCUUUCCACGAUGGCUUCAAGGUUCUUGGAGGAAAGGCUGAGAAUGACUCAGCUCAGUAAGCUAUCCGUAGCACAUCGGGAGCACUUCCAACUGCUGCUGAGAACCAGAGACCUGAAGCUGAUGAUAGGCAGCAUGAGUUUGGUCAUCUUGUUCCCAUAUCCAAUUCUGAGCAUCAGAACCUUGCCCUUGAGUCCUCCCCACACCCAGGUGCUGAUACUUCUGGGUUCCUGCCAGGCAGGCUUCAUUCUGACACAUCCAUUUGACCGGUGCCAGGUGCAUUUCUUGGACCUCUUUCUGGAGAUCUUGGGCUUCACCAGAGGUUGGAGGGCAGCCAUGAUGCUGCACAGGAGGUGGCAGCCACCUGGCAGGCUGCACCGAGGGAGAAAGUAGUCUAUGCCAUUUCAUAUUGGAAAUACAUAUCUUGUAUAUAUCUUUAUUUUACAGGGGCUCAAAGAGAUAACUAUGAGUCUCAGGUGAAAUCCCAGAUUUUCAGCAGUAUUGGAACUAUUAAGAUUUUGGGGACUCAGCCAAGCUUGAUGGCGCACGCCUUUAAUCCCAGCACUCGGGAGGUAGAG